GUAGGUGGCAAGCGUUGUCCGGAAUUAUUGGGCGUAAAGCGCGCGCAGGCGGUCCUUUAAGUCUGAUGUGAAAGCCCACGGCUCAACCGUGGAGGGUCAUUGGAAACUGGGGGACUUGAGUACAGAAGAGGAAAGCGGAAUUCCACGUGUAGCGGUGAAAUGCGUUGAGAUGUGGAGGAACACCAGUGGCGAAGGCGGCUUUCUGGUCUGUAACUGACGCUGAGGCGCGAAGGCGUGGGGAGCAAACAGGGAUUAGAUACCCUGGUAGUCCACGCCGUAAACGAUGAGUGCUAAGUGUUAGGGGGUUUCCGCCCCUUAGUGCUGCAGCUAACGCAUUAAGCACUCCGCCUGGGGAGUACGGCCGCAAGGCUG
rnacentral:rRNA from 1 species